AACCCCUUGAGAGUGGCGAACGGGUGAGUAAUAUAUCGGAACGUGCCCAGUCGUGGGGGAUAACGUAGCGAAAGUUACGCUAAUACCGCAUACGAUCUAAGGAUGAAAGCGGGGGACUCGCAAGAGCCUCGCGCGAUUGGAGCGGCCGAUAUCAGAUUAGGUAGUUGGUGGGGUAAAGGCUCACCAAGCCAACGAUCUGUAGCUGGUCUGAGAGGACGACCAGCCACACUGGAACUGAGACACGGUCCAGACUCCUACGGGAGGCAGCAGUGGGGAAUUUUGGACAAUGGACGCAAGUCUGAUCCAGCCAUUCCGCGUGCAGGAUGAAGGCCCUCGGGUUGUAAACUGCUUUUGUACGGAACGAAAAGGUCUCUCUUAAUACGGGGGGCUCAUGACGGUACCGUAAGAAUAAGCACCGGCUAACUACGUGCCAGCAGCCGCGGUAAUACGUAGGGUGCAAGCGUUAAUCGGAAUUACUGGGCGUAAAGCGUGCGCAGGCGGUUAUAUAAGACAGAUGUGAAAUCCCCGGGCUCAACCUGGGAACUGCAUUUGUGACUGUAUAGCUAGAGUACGGUAGAGGGGGAUGGAAUUCCGCGUGUAGCAGUGAAAUGCGUAGAUAUGCGGAGGAACACCGAUGGCGAAGGCAAUCCCCUGGACCUGUACUGACGCUCAUGCACGAAAGCGUGGGGAGCAAACAGGA
rnacentral:rRNA from 1 species